rnacentral:lncRNA from 12 species
GUACAUCACAUGGAAGCCUGUCACUCAGGAGUUUAUAAAGUAAUGAUCAUCUACUUCAGGGAUAUGGACAUUUUCUCUAUCUCCAUCAUUUCCUCUUUUCAGUCACAUAUGAUGUGACAUAUCAGGGAAUGGCUAAAAGCAGAGGAGACAGAGACCACAGCUGUUUGUAGAUGGGACACGCAUGUCCGAGAUAUUACUGAUUUUCUGGAGGAAGUCGCCAAAUGACUGAGAGAUAUUUUCAAAUUACUUUCUUUUAAUACAAAGAAAUUUUAUUGUUCAGGUUCACUUAACCUACCCUUAAAUCUCCUCAACCUUUAGGUAUUCGGCUGCAGCUGAUAGAUAUAACAAUAUAUGGUGUAAAUUAAUUGAGUUUUCAUCUAAAUCACCAGGCUCAAAUUCUUUGAAACAUCUACUCGCAGAUAAAAUCUAUGCAAAGUCUGUCAGCUGUCAGCUUUUUACUAUUCUUGUAUAGUUGGUUAACAACCGUGUUCCGAAGCUGAGUGAAAGCUGAAUUUGUCAGGCUUUUGUGAAACAAAGAACUCAAAUUCAGAAGCCUUACCAUGAGAAUAAAGCCACCUACAGGGAUGUUUUAUACGAGUUUGAUCUCAAAGAAAUGAGAUGGGGUGCUGAGAGAGGUGCCAAAGACAGCGUCUUCGGAGUAAGGAUUGGAAUGACUCUCUUUUUCCUUGUAGCUGAUGAAACUGAGUGGUUUGAAUGGUUUCCAGGUAACAACAGACAGAUGCUGACUCCAGAAUGAAUGACUGCAGUGAUGGAAUACUCAUGCAAAGACUGCCAAGCCUCCACACGGGAGUCCGUGCCUGAACGUGGUUUGUCUAGCAUUUACCUAUAAUUAACACAACUAAUAAUAUUUAAAUUGACAAUUACAGGCUCAUAAUGAUUGUUCUGUACCUAUAAUGCAAUUUUUCCGAGAGGGGCAAUAGUUGAUUCACACAUUGAUGAAGCAAAAAUCUGGUUCUCCUCUGGAAGAUUCAAUUAAAAGAACAUCCAAAAUAAGCCUCAAACUGCCCAAAGUAUCCAGCAUCAAUUCAUGGGAUAAUAUUAAAGAG